CCUUAACCACUUGUAGAGGUAUACUGAGAUAUCGCUACACACCAAGGUUCAGAGCUACCGACGAGCUUGAACCUACCAAACCAAUGCAAACAUAAACCAUUGUUCCUGAACUAGAACUUCCACCCACUAAACAAGCCAACCUACUCCAUGGGGCUGCUCCCUGACUCCCACCGUGUGUCACAAGCUGUAUCCACAAGUGAUCCAAUGUCCUGGAGUACUUGCAGGCCUGCAGCCUCCUGUUUUUGAUGUCUGAAAAAGGAGAAGACUGUAACGGAUCACCUGGCACCCCCGACUGGGUACCUCCGUUGAAGGAUGCUCCUAGCGCUUCCUGAAGACUCCAAGCAC